GCGCAUGCAGGUGGUUUGUUAAGUCAGAUGUGAAAGCCCGGGGCUCAACCUCGGAAUUGCAUUUAGAAACUGGCAAACUAGAGUACUGUAGAGGGGGUAGAAUUUCAGGUGUAGCGGUGAAAUGCGUAGAGAUCUGAAGGAAUACCGGUGGCGAAGGCGGCCCCCUCGGACAGAUACUGACACUCAGAUGCGAAAGCGUGGGGAGCAAACAGGAUUAGAUACCCUGGUAG
rnacentral:rRNA from 1 species